rnacentral:rRNA from 1 species
UACAGAGGGUGCGAGCGUUAAUCGGAAUUACUGGGCGUAAAGCGCACGCAGGUGGCUGAGUCAGUCGAUUGUGAAAGCCCUGGGCUUAACCUGGGAAUUGCAGUCGAUACUACUCAGCUAGAGUAUGGGAGAGGGUAGUGGAAUUCCCGGUGUAGCGGUGAAAUGCGUAGAUAUCGGGAGGAACAUCAGUGGCGAAGGCGGCUACU